rnacentral:rRNA from 1 species
AUUGAACGCUGGCGGCAGGCCUAACACAUGCAAGUCGAGCGGAUGAAGGGAGCUUGCUCCUGGAUUCAGCGGCGGACGCGUGAGUAAUGCCUAGGAAUCUGCCUGGUAGUGGGGGAUAACGUCCGGAAACGGGCGCUAAUACCGCAUACGUCCUGAGGGAGAAAGUGGGGGAUCUUCGGACCUCACGCUAUCAGAUGAGCCUAGGUCGGAUUAGCUAGUUGGUGGGGUAAAGGCCUACCAAGGCGACGAUCCGUAACUGGUCUGAGAGGAUGAUCAGUCACACUGGAACUGAGACACGGUCCAGACUCCUACGGGAGGCAGCAGUGGGGAAUAUUGGACAAUGGGCGAAAGCCUGAUCCAGCCAUGCCGCGUGUGUGAAGAAGGUCUUCGGAUUGUAAAGCACUUUAAGUUGGGAGGAAGGGCAGUAAGUUAAUACCUUGCUGUUUUGACGUUACCAACAGAAUAAGCACCGGCUAACUUCGUG